rnacentral:rRNA from 1 species
CCCUUAGAUGUUCUGGGCCGCACGCGCGCUACACUGAUGCAUUCAACGAGCCUAGCCUUGACCGAGAGGUCCGGGUAAUCUUUGAAACUGCAUCGUGAUGGGGCUAGAUUAUUGCAAUUAUUAAUCUUCAACGAGGAAUGCCUAGUAAGCGUGAUUCAUCAAAUCGCGUUGAUUACGUCCCUGCCCUUUGUACACACCGCCCGUCGCUGCCCGGGACUGAGCCGUUUCGAGAAAAGCGGGGACUGCUGCUGUCGGGGCUUUCGGGCCUUGGCUUCGGUGGAAACCGCUUUAAUCGCAGUGGCUUGAACCGGGCAAAAGUCGUAACA